AUACGUAGGGUGCGAGCGUUGUCCGGAAUUACUGGGCGUAAAGAGCUCGUAGGUGGUUUGUCGCGUCGUCUGUGAAAUUCCGGGGCUUAACUCCGGGCGUGCAGGCGAUACGGGCAUAACUUGAGUACUGUAGGGGAGACUGGAAUUCCUGGUGUAGCGGUGAAAUGCGCAGAUAUCAGGAGGAACACCGGUGGCGAAGGCGGGUUUCUGGGCAUUAACUGACGCUGAGGAGCGAAAGAAUGGGUAGCGAACAGGAUUAGAUCACCUGGUAGUCCAUGCCGUAAACGGUGGGCGCUAGGUGUAGGGGUCUUCCACGACUUCUGUGCCGUAGCUAACGCAUUAAGCGCCCCGCCUGGGGAGUACGGCCGCAAGGCUAAAACUCAAAUGAAUUGACGGGG
rnacentral:rRNA from 1 species